rfam:Triticum urartu cultivar G1812 contig635747, whole genome shotgun sequence.
AAAGUACUCCCUCCGUCCCAAAAUUCUUGUCUUAGAAUUGUCUAGAUACAGAUGUAUCAAGUCACAUUUUAGUAUUAGAUACAUCCGUAUCUUGACAAAUAUAAGACAAGAAAUUUGGGACAGAGGGAGUAGUUG